rnacentral:rRNA from 1 species
UGGUUCGUACCGUGAAAAAACCCCUCUACGUGUAGAGGGGUGAUUGUACCGUAAGAAUAAGGAUCGGCUAACUCCGUGCCAGCAGCCGCGGUAAUACGGAGGAUCCAAGCGUUAUCCGGAUUUAUUGGGUUUAAAGGGUGCGUAGGCGGAAUUGUAAGUCAGUGGUGAAAGCCCUUCGCUUAACGAAGGAACUGCCAUUGAUACUGCAAAUCUUGAGUACAUUUGACGAGGGCGGAAUGUGUCAUGUAGCGGUGAAAUGCUUAGAUAUGACACAGAACACCGAUUGCGAAGGCAGCUCUCGAAACUGUAACUGACGCUGAGGCACGAAAGCGUGGGUAUCAAACAGGAUUAGAUACCCUGGUAGUCCACGCUGUAAACCAUGAUUACUCGAUGUUUGCGAUACACUGUAAGCGUCUAAGCGAAAGCGAUAAGUAAUCCACCUGGGGAGUACGCUCGCAAGAGUGAAACUCAAAGGAAUUGACG